rnacentral:lncRNA from 1 species
CUCCAGCUGUCUGUCCCGCAGAGAGGUAGUUAGAAUGGACUCCAAGGCAAGAAGUUGACAGAGAAGCAAGGGUCUUGAGGGGUGAGCCCUAUGACUAAAGAUACACGAGCUUCUCUACAACCAUUUCCUCGGAAAGCCCUUUUGCCAGCUUAGCGUAGAGAGAUAGCCCAAUGAAAGGAAGAAUAUAUGGGUAGAUCAAAGCCGGCUGAAGGCCAAGAAUGGGAUACGGGGAUGAAAGCUCAGAGACCAUUUGUUCAACUUCUCUACCAGAAGUGGAAGAUGAACCCAUAUGAACUGAGUUCUAAACCACGUGAUUGAUAUCAUGGCGUAGAUAUAACAUGAUUCUAUUUCUUAGCGGGAAGAGCCUCUCCAGCCUUAGGGGAGAACCAAAGACCCCUUUCUCUUAUGUACUUAGCCGCGGGCAUAAAUCUCCUUCCUAUAAAGAAGGGAUCGAUCUCCAAGCAAAGUUGAAAGCGGUAAGGCAUUCAAUUAAUUAAGUUGUGGUCAAUCUUCAGAUAUGGAAUAGGUACCAAACCGGAGUCAGAGUCAGCUGCGGCAUUUCAUUCAGUCAGCUUGGCUUUUUAUCUAGUUUUCCUUUUCCUUGGCGCCCUUCUUUAGUCAAUCUCGCAUUGGUCCAUUCCGGUCUUCAGUCAGUCAAGUCAGUUUGCACCAAGCAAGUAAGCAAGCCAGUGAUUUUAUCCGAGGGUGAAUAAACUAAGGUAGUGAAGUCAUCCUAGCUCAAUGCUUUCCUAUCUAGUCCUAGAGCCUUCAAUUCAAAAAAAGACUUUAUAGAAAGGAAAAAUGGAAUCCUUUGAGAUGAGAUAGGUUGAGAAAGCGCGUUAAUAUCCUCUUGAGAAGUCAUCUUGCCACUAAGAUAAGGAUCUCAAUCAAAUAAUAUGAGGAAUGAUGGUCAGUAGUCAAGAGGUUCUGGUAAUCUCGCACGAUGUGGCAAGGAUAUUGGUGUGAUUCAAUAUCCAAUUUCCAAUCCUAAAGGGCUCAAAUCCUAUGACGCCUUUUGUGUUUAAGGGUGGAUAACUAAAAUGAAUAGUAUUGGACUCCCCUUUUUUUAAAAUCCAACUGAUACGGGAUUUAAGAAAGAAAAAGUCCUCUUCCCCCAAAGUUCAAUGUGUUUGGCAGAAUCGCAUAUGAGGCAAGGUUUUUCUCCCUUAAACUCUUUUUUUAUACUAAUAUACAAAUUGGAAAAUAAAAAAUAAAAACUUACAUGCACCAUAGUUGUAUGCAUGCAAUGUUCAACAUUGUUU